rnacentral:rRNA from 1 species
AGUCGAGGGAGAAUUGCUUUCGGGCAGCAGGAACCGGCGAACGGGUGCGUAACACGUAUGCAACCUACCUAUAACUGGGGGAUAGCCCGAAGAAAUUCGGAUUAAUACCCUAUAAUAUUUACUACUCGCAUGAGUUGGUAUCUUAAAACUCCGGUGGUUAUAGAUGGGCAUGCGGCCUAUUAGUUUGUUGGUGAGGUAACGGCUCACCAAGACUACAAUAGGUAGGGGUUCUGAAAGGAUGAUCCCCCACACUGGUACUGAGACACGGACCAAACUCCUACGGGAGGCAGCAGUAGGGAAUAUUGGUCAUUGGACGCAAGUCUGAACCAGCCUUGCCGCGUGCAAGAAAAAGGCCCUAUGGGGUUGUAAACUGCUUUU